rnacentral:rRNA from 1 species
GAUGAACGCUGGCGGCGUGCCUAAUACAUGCAAGUCGAGCGAACAGACGAGGAGCUUGCUCCUCUGACGUUAGCGGCGGACGGGUGAGUAACACGUGGAUAACCUACCUAUAAGACUGGGAUAACUUCGGGAAACCGGAGCUAAUACCGGAUAAUAUAUUGAACCGCAUGGUUCAAUAGUGAAAGACGGUUUUGCUGUCACUUAUAGAUGGAUCCGCGCCGCAUUAGCUAGUUGGUAAGGUAACGGCUUACCAAGGCAACGAUGCGUAGCCGACCUGAGAGGGCGAUCGGCCACACUGGAACUGAGACACGGUCCAGACUCCUACGGGAGGCAGCAGUAGGGAAUCUUCCGCAAUGGGCGAAAGCCUGACGGAGCAACGCCGCGUGAGUGAUGAAGGUCUUCGGAUCGUAAAACUCUGUUAUUAGGGAAGAACAAAUGUGUAAGUAACUAUGCACGUCUUGACGGUACCUAAUCAGAAAGCCACGGCUAACUACGU